UUUUUAGUAUGAGUGUGUCCCAUGCAAUGUCUAGGAGAUACUUACACUAAGC
rnacentral:miRNA from 1 species